rnacentral:lncRNA from 1 species
AAAACUAACUCACUUUCGCAGGAAUCGCGAUUGCAUUUACCGUAUGCAAUAAGGCUUUAAACCCCUAGGUGGCCCUAGUGGACGAGUUUUGUCUCGUGAGGGUUUCCGGCUCAGAUACCCACAAACUGUUUGUCUCUACUCAAAGAGUUAUUAUUUUAUAAAAUCUAAUUUUAAAUGCAUAAAUGCCAAGAAUUUCAAAAGCACACAAAGUUUUAAUUACCAAGUCAGCCCAAAUCCUAGGUCAGUAUGCAACUUAAGUUGAAGUCAUUAACUUUUCGUUA